rnacentral:rRNA from 1 species
CUGACGUUAGCGGCGGACGGGUGAGUAACACGUGGGUAACCUACCUAUAAGACUGGGAUAACUCCGGGAAACCGGGGCUAAUACCGGAUAAUACAUGAAACCGCAUGGUUUCAUGAUGAAAGACGGUUUUGCUGUCACUUAUAGAUGGACCCGCGGCGUAUUAGCUAGUUGGUAAGGUAACGGCUUACCAAGGCAACGAUACGUAGCCGACCUGAGAGGGUGAUCGGCCACACUGGAACUGAGACACGGUCCAG